rnacentral:rRNA from 1 species
UAAUACUGCAAGUCGAGCGAACAGACGAGGAGCUUGCUCCUUUGACGUUAGCGGCGGACGGGUGAGUAACACGUGGGUAACCUACCUAUAAGACUGGGAUAACUUCGGGAAACCGGAGCUAAUACCGGAUAAUAUUUCGAACCGCAUGGUUCGAUAGUGAAAGAUGGCUUUGCUAUCACUUAUAGAUGGACCUGCGCCGUAUUAGCUAGUUGGUAAGGUAACGGCUUACCAAGGCAACGAUACGUAGCCGACCUGAGAGGGUGAUCGGCCACACUGGAACUGAAACACGGUCCAAACUCCUACGGGAGGCAGCAGUAGGGAAUCUUCCGCAAUGGGCNGAAAGCCGUGACGNGAGCAACGCCGCGGUGAGGUGAUGAAGGGUNNUUCGAGAUCGAUAAAACCUCUGUGUAUUAGGAGAAAGAACAAANNGUGUAGAGUAACGUGUGGCACGCUCUGUGACGGAUACCAUAACUCAAGAAAGNCCACGGNCUAANNUACGGUGCCANGCAGCNCGCGGAUAAUACGAUAGUGUGGACAGAGCUGUUAUCCGAGAAUAUAUGUGGGGCGAUAAAGGCGCGCGAUAGCGCGNGUUUUUUAAGCUCUAGAUGGUGAAAGCNCCACGGUCUCAACGCGGUGNNAGGGCUCAUGUGNNAAACGUGGGAAAACUGUGAGGUGCAAGAAAGAGNGAANAGUGNNAAUUCNCAUGGUGUAGGCGGGUGAAAAUGCGCAAGAGAAUAUGGGAGGGAACACCAGGUGGGCGAAGGCNGACUUUUCUGGNUCUGUAAACUGACCGCCUGAUGGUGCCGAAAAGCGGUGGGGGAUCAAAACAGNGAAUUAGAUACCCCUGGGUAGUCCCACGCCCGNUAAACGGAUGAAGUGCUAAGGUGUUUAGGGGGGUUUCCCGCCCCCUUAGUGCUGGNAGCUAACGCAUUAAAGCACUCCGCCCUGGGGGAGUACGACCCGCAAGGGUUGAAACUCAAAAGGAAUUUGACGGGGGACCCGCACAAGCGGGGGGAGCAUGUGGUUUAAUUCGAANCAACGCCGAAGAACCUUACCAAAUCUUGACAUCCUUUGACCCUUCUAGAGAUAGAAGUUUCCCCUUCGGGGNACAAAGUGACAGGNUGGNGCAGGGUUGCC